rnacentral:rRNA from 1 species
CCUACGGGAGGCAGCAGUGGGGAAUAUUGGGCAAUGGGCGCAAGCCUGACCCAGCAACGCCGCGUGAAGGAAGAAGGCUUUCGGGUUGUAAACUCCUUUUGUUAGAGAAGAUAAUGACGGUAUCUAACGAAUAAGCACCGGCUAACUCCGUGCCAGAAGCCGCGGUAAUACGGAGGGUGCAAGCGUUACUCGGAAUCACUGGGCGUAAAGAGCGCGUAGGCGGGUUAGCAAGUCAGAUGUGAAAUCCUAUGGCUUAACCGUAGAAGUGCAUUUGAAACUGUUAUUCUAGAGUAUGGGAGAGGUAGGUGGAAUUCUUGGUGUAGGGGUAGAAUCCGUAGAUAUCAAGAGGAACACUCAUGGCGAAGGCGGCCUGCUGGAACGCAACUGACGCUGAGGCGCGAAAGCGUGGGGAGCAAACAGGAUUAGAUACCCGUGUAGUC